rnacentral:misc_RNA from 1 species
UAUGUAAUGAGUGAAAAAAAGUUCAUAAUAUUUUCAUCAGUUAACAAACCACAUCACAAUAUAUGAUCAUUCAAACUUCUUUGCUCUCCAAAAUUCAUAAUAAAUAAGCAUCACCUUAAAUUGCAAGAAAUUCUUUAAAUUUAGUUGAGGAGAAUUGACAUAGUACUCCCCUCUUCUCUUGGAAAAUGAAAUGUACGUUUAUAGACUAUGUAUUUCCG